rnacentral:tRNA from 1 species
GGGGAUGUGGCUCAAUAGUAGAGCAUUUGCCUAGUGUGCAGAAGGUCCUGGGUUCAAUCUCCAGCACUGCAA